GUGGCGGACGGGUGAGUAAUGCUUGGGAAUCUGGCUUAUGGAGGGGGAUAACUACGGGAAACUGUAGCUAAUACCGCGUAGAAUCGAGAGAUGAAAGUGUGGGACCGCAAGGCCACAUGCCAUAAGAUGAGCCCAAGUGGGAUUAGGUAGUUGGUGGGGUAAAGGCCUACCAAGCCGACGAUCUCUAGCUGGUCUGAGAGGAUGACCAGUCACACUGGAACUGAGACACGGUCCAGACUCCUACGGGAGGCAGCAGUGGGGAAUAUUGCACAAUGGGGGGAACCCUGAUGCAGCCAUGCCGCGUGAAUGAAGAAGGCCUUCGGGUUGUAAAGUUCUUUCGGUGAUGAGGAAGGCAGGUAAGUGAAUAGCUUGCUUGAUUGACGUUAGUCACAGAAGAAGCACCGGCUAACUCCGUGCCAGCAGCCGCGGUAAUACGGAGGGUGCGAGCGUUAAUCGGAAUAACUGGGCGUAAAGGGCACGCAGGCGGUGACUUAAGUGAGAUGUGAAAUCCCCGAGCUUAACUUGGGAACUGCAUUUCAGACUGGGUUGCUAGAGUAUUUUAGGGAGGGGUUAGAAUUCCACGUGUAGCGGU
rnacentral:rRNA from 1 species